rnacentral:rRNA from 1 species
AGGACGAACGCUGGCGGCGUGGAUUAGGCAUGCAAGUCGAGCGACGGUUUCCUUCGGGAAAUACGGAGCGGCGAACGGGUGAGUAACACGUGAACAACCUGUCCCUUUGUUCCGGAUAAUUGGGAGAAAUCCCUUGUAAUACGGGUGAGGACGGUCCUUUGGCAUCUCAGGAUCGGGGAACACGCAAGUGGUAUGGGGAGGGUUCGCGACCUAUCGAGGUAGUUGGUGUGGUAACGGCACACCAAGCCAACGACGGGUAGCUGGUCUGGAGAGGAUGGUCAGCCACAGUUGGAACUGAGACACUGUCCAGACUCCGUACGGGAGCU